rnacentral:lncRNA from 12 species
CAUUUGGGUACGUUUUGGGUACAUUCGGUGACAUUUGGGGACGUUCUGGGCACAUUUUGGGCACAUUUGGGGACAUUUUGGGGACAUUUUAGGGACAUUUUGGGUACAUUUGGUGGCCUUUGGUGACAUUUCUGGCACAUUUUGGGAUAUUUUUGGUACAUUUGGGCACAUUUUGGGCACAUUUUGGGCACAUUUUGGGUACAUUUGGUGACAUUUCGGGAUACUUUGGGUACAUUUGGGUACAUUUGGUGGUCUUUGGGGACAUUUUGGGCACAUUUGGGCACAUCUGGGUACAUUUUGGGUACAUCCGGUGACAUUUGGGGACGUUCUGGGUACAUUUUGGGCACAUUUGGGGACAUUUUGGGGACAUUUGGGGACAUUUGGGGACAUUUUGGGGACAUUUGGGUACACCUGGGCACAUUUUGGGCACAUUUGGGCACACUUUGUGACAUUAUGGGAACAUCUGGGCACAUUUUGGGCACAUCUGGCCACAUUUUGUGACAUUUUGGGCACAUCUGGGCACACUUUGGGCACAUCUGGGCACACUUUGGGGACAUUUGGGGACAUUUUGGGGACAUUUGGGUACACCUGGGCACAUUUUGGGCACAUCUGGGCACAUCUGGGCACAUCUGGGCACACUCUGGGCACAUUUUGGGCACAUCUGGGCACAUUUUGUGACAUUUUGGGCACGUCUGGGCACAUUUUGGGCACAUCUGGGUACAUUUUGUGACAUUUUGGGCACAUCUGGGCACACUUUGGGCACAUUUUGGGCACACUCUGGGGACAUCUGGGCACAUUUGGUGACAUUUGGGGACAUUCUGGGGACAUUUGGGUACACCUGGGCACAUUUUGGGCACAUUUGGGCACACUUUGUGACAUUAUGGGAACAUCUGGGCACAUUUUGGGCACAUCUGGCCACAUUU